GUGAGUGCCGCUAACGCCGCUGCGGAGAGAACAGGCAGAUCGUAAAGACGCCGUAAAUCCAUCCUUGGAGGCUCGUGCCGCGCCAUCCUUGGCGCGGACGCUUU
rnacentral:ncRNA from 1 species